UACGAAAGGUGCAAGCGUUACUCGGAAUCACUGGGCGUAAAGCGCGCGUAGGCGGACUCGUAGGUCAGUUGUGAAAUACCUGGGCUCAACCCAGGAACUGCAGCUGAAACCGCUUGUCUUGAAUACUUGAGAGGGUGGGGGAAUACCUGGUGGAGAAGUGAAAUUCGUAGAGAUCAGGUGGAACACCGGAGGCGAAGGCGCCUGCCUGGCAAUGUAUUGACGCUGAGGCGCGAAAGUGCGGGGAGCAAACAGGAUUAGAUACCCUGGUAGUCCGCACCGUAAACGAUGGAUACUAGGCGUUCGGAGAGUUAACCCUCUGAGUGCCAAAGUUUACACAUUAAGUAUCCCGCCUGGGAAGUACGGUCGCAAGACUAAA
rnacentral:rRNA from 1 species